rnacentral:rRNA from 1 species
UACGGAGGAUCCAAGCGUCAUCCGGAAUUACUGGGCGUAAAGAGUUGCGUAGGUGGCAUGUAAAGCGAAUAGUGAAAUCCUGUGGCUCAACCAUAGAUCCAUUAUUCGAACUCACAAGCUUGAGCAUAGUAGAGGUACCUGGAAUUUCUAGUGUAGGAGUGAAAUCCGUAGAUAUUAGAAGGAACACCGAUGGCGUAGGCAGGGUACUGGGCUAUUGCUGACACUAAGGCACGAAAGCGUGGGGAGCGAACAGG